rnacentral:lncRNA from 1 species
AUGGAAACAUUUGAAACCUCUUCUAUAUCCCCAACUUAUUAUAUUUCAGGGUUUUUAAAGAUGUUUUUAUUAUUUGAAAAAUUGUGUGUGUGUGUGAGAGAGAGAGAGAGAGAGAGAAGAGAGAGAGAGAGAGAGAGAGAGAGAGAGAUGUCAUGUCAUCUGCUAAUGGUUCACUCCAAAAUGGCUGCAACAGCCAGGUCUGGACAAGACCAAAGCCAAGAGCCAGAAACUCCAUCAGGGUCUCCUACAUCAGUGACAGGUUCCCAGGUACUUGAGCCAUCAUCUGCUACUUUCUCAGGCACAUUAGCAGGGAAAUGGAUUGGAAAUGGAGCAGCUGGGACUCAAACUGGUACUCUUAUAUGGGAUACCAGCAUUGCAAGUAGAAGUUUAUUCUGCUGCACCGAAACACUGCCCCUUCUCAUCUUACUUUCUUGAUGACAACGAUAAAUCCAUUAACUGUCUGGGCCUUGGUUUCCUCAAUUGGAAAUUGAUAGCUUGUCUUAUAUUGUCUCUUGUAAACUAUGAAAUGUCAGGAAAGACAUGCCUUUGGGGAGUGUGUAAGAAUAGAGAAGGCAGUAUAGUUUGUCAGUGACAAAGUUCUAUGCAAAUAUUAGAUAACAUUUCCAUUUCUCUGCCUGCAGCAACAUAGGAUGCUUGUGUCAGAGUAUAUGUCUAAGUGAUGCUUCCUUCAUUAAGAGAAUAUGGCCACCAAAAAUAUUUUGAUAUAGAUGAUAGAUAGAUAGAUAGAUAGAUAGAUCGGUCAAUCAAUCUUGCUGCCCAGACUACCUUGAAGAAAGCAAACAGUAUGACCCUGAAGCCAGAAAGACUAGCAGAACAGUUCUGUCUCACUAUUUAUAAUCUUUUGACCUGAUCAAGUUACUAAAUUUCCAUUUCCCCUUCUAUUAAACGGGGUUAGCAAUGACAUAUUCAUAGGAUGGUUGUGAAGAUAAAGAUAAAAAUAUAUGUGAAUGCUCAGAACAGGACCCAGAAUUUAACAGCGAGUUUAAAAAUGCUAUUAUCAUCAGCAUUACUACAUCAUCAUCAACCUAAAGCAUCUGUCUACUGAGUCUAACACAGGUGUGCAUGCCCACUAUCAGAGGUUGUCACAACUCAUACAGGUUGUGCUUCUGACACCCAGUGAGGACAUGGGUGCUUCUAUAAAUCCUACAGUCCCAGAACAGUGACCCACAUGAACUCAUUCAACCAAAACAUCAACACUUUUGAGGUUUGCAUUGGAGCCAUUCCUUUGGGUUGCAUAGGGUGCCCAUACUUGUAGAUUUAUAGAAUGUCAGUCCUAAAAGAGACCUUUGAGAGUAUACCAUUCAAAUUUUACUAAAAGAAAAGCUCAGAGAGAAAAGGACUUUUCAUCACCUCUCCCAUUCAGUAGCACAAAUUGUCUGUUUCUUCUGUCCAUCUGUCUUGCUUCCUAAAAACGCAAUUCCCCAGAUGAAUUAGAGAGACCCAAGGUCAAGGCCACCGGGGUCCAGUUACACCCUGUGCUUCUGGAUCCACUGGCUAAGGCUCAAGCAGGGGAGAGAUCAGGGUGGUCCAGGGCAUCUGCAGUACAGGGACAAGGCUUCACACCCACUCUGAGUCUUACUUAGAGGAAGGAUGUAUGCAGGAAAAACUAUGGAGGUAAAAGCACAGAACUUGGAGUCAGAAGAAAUGGAACUGAGUGCUACUCACUGAUACUUUCUCCAUGCUAUUGACCAAUCAUAUGAGGCACAGAAUCCUACAAUAUUAGCACUGAAAUGUCUUUAGAACACUUUAGGCCCAAAGUUAGCAAAGUUCAUUCUCUCUCACUCUCCUAUCUCUAUCUCUAUCUCUCUCUCCCUUCUCAUUCUCUCCCUAGUGGGAGUGGUGAUAAAAUGUGCUUAUCUCAUAGAAGUUUUGUAACAUCAAACUGGAUCACAAAUACAAAUGCAAGUUGUUACUCAUAGUUAAGAAUACAGACUUUAUAAAAAGAACUUGGCUUCAAGCCCUGGCUCUGCCAAUGACUGGCUGUGGUACUUUGGUGAAGUCAACUUACCUCACUGUGCCUCAUUUUCCUCAGCACCGAAAUAGGCACAGCGAUAUGCUUGCCAACCUCAUACUGCCAUCAUGAGAAUUCAGUGAGUUAAUUAAUACAUACAAGUGCCUACAGAACAGUACAAGCUUUAAGCAGAGUGCUGGCUUUUAGUGUAAGUGACCAUCCUUCAUCCUCUGAUUCUUCCCAGUGAAGUGGAGAAGCAUAUUUUUUCUAAUAAACUAUUGGACUCUACAACA